AUUCAGUAACUGGAUCUUUUUAUUGGCACAGAUUCAAUGUCAUAGUUGUACUUCUUGCUACACAAUAUAGUGUGGUCGCUAUCUUCAGUUUUUUAACAUCUGAUAAACAUCUAAUAAAGUUUUAUACAAGCAUUAAAACAAGCGAUGCUAUCAUGGGCUUUAAGAAUUUGCCGUACGUUAGUAAAGCUGUGUUGGUACCCAUUUACAUUACAGUCCUUCUAUGGAUGUUCACAGUUUAUUACUGCUUUAUAGGCCCUAUAUAUCUUCCAACAUAUAUUAUGGCCAUGUGCUCAGAUUUAAAUUCUUUAACAGUUAGCUUGCUUCUAUGUGGAUUUUUUUCUCGAAUGCGUGUCAUUCAAAACACCUUAGAAAACAAUUUCGUUCCUGUCAAUAUUGUUGGCAAAGAUCAGCUUCAGAAAAACGUAAAGAUUGUCAGAAAAUGCGUCGGUUACUAUAGCAAUCUGUUAGAUAGCUUCGACGCUAUUCAUACACAGUUCCAAUUUACGGUGAGUGUUUUUAUCAGUUAUGCUAGUUGUAACUUAUUUCAACUUUAUCUUGACCCGAAAUUUCUUCCGACCGUAAUAACGGUUGGAGGUUUAUCAUUGUACCUAUGUGACGGGUUUGAUUUAAAAAUAAUAAGCCGCGAUUUAAGUAUUGGCACUUGUGUAAAUCAGCCAGAUAUUUAGUAAGAAUUAUGUUUUCAGUUAGCAGUAUCGCUGGUCUGCCGCUUCCCGUCCUGGGUGAUUCGAUUUUAUGAUUCAGUUCAGCAGUAUUUGCAAACUCAGAGUGUCCCAAUUGAUAUCGUAACGGUGGCACUAGUUACGAUGAUGUCUUUAUUUGUGACAACUUCACCAGCUUUCGUCUCAGAAUUGAUCAGUAACGAAAUAGACGCAAUCAAGGCGACGCUUGUUACUCAGUUGGUUCGCUGCUCAGAUCCGUCUCUCUCGUCUGAGCUGGAGGUUGCUCUGCAUUACAUCCACAUUCGGCCGUUCAAGUUCGUGAUCUGCAGAGCCGUGCCCGUCGAUAUCAACAUGCCGAUUACUAUAAUCAGCUUCAGCGUCACCUACGUCAUUGUCAUCAUGCAGUUUAUUCACUUCAGCGACUUGUAAACGGAUAUUUACUCUUUUAUUGUCAUAAUCUGCAUUUCAGUCUUUUUCUGCUAAGCACGUUAAUUCAUGUAGUCAGUCAUUG